AUUGAACGCUGGCGGCAUGCUUUACACAUGCAAGUCGAACGGUAACAGGCCUUCGGGUGCUGACGAGUGGCGAACGGGUGAGUAAUGCAUCGGAACGUGCCCAAUCGUGGGGGAUAACGUAGCGAAAGUUACGCUAAUACCGCAUAAGCCCUGAGGGGGAAAGCAGGGGAUCGCAAGACCUUGCGCGAAUGGAGCGGCCGAUGUCAGAUUAGCUAGUUGGUGGGGUAAAGGCCUACCAAGGCGACGAUCUGUAGCGGGUCUGAGAGGAUGAUCCGCCACACUGGGACUGAGACACGGCCCAGACUCCUACGGGAGGCAGCAGUGGGGAAUUUUGGACAAUGGGCGCAAGCCUGAUCCAGCCAUGCCGCGUGAGUGAAGAAGGCCUCGG
rnacentral:rRNA from 1 species